AUUGAACGCUGGCGGCAGGCCUAACACAUGCAAGUCGAACGGUAACAGGAAGAAGCUUGCUUCUUUGCGGGCGGGGGGCGGGCGGGUGAGAAGUGUCUAGGAAACUGUCGGAGGUAGGGGGAAAACUACUGGAAACGGGAGAUAAGACCGAAGAACGGCGCAAGACCAGAGAGGGGGAGCUACGGGCGGCGUGCCAUGCGGUGUGCGCAGAUGGGAAUUGCGUGUAGGUGGGGGAACGGCUCACCUAGUCGGCGAUCCCUAGCGGGUGUGAGAGGCUGACCAGCCACACUGGAACUGAGACACGGUCCAGACUCCUGCGGUAGGCAGCAGUGGGGAAUAUUGCACAAUGGGCGCAAGCCUGAUGCAGCCAUGCCGCGUGUAUGAAGAAGGCCUUCGGGUUGUAAAGUACUUUCAGCGGGGAGGAAGGGAGUAAAGUUAAUACCUUUGCUCAUUGACGUUACCCGCAGAAGAAGCACCGGCUAACUCCGUG
rnacentral:rRNA from 1 species